rnacentral:lncRNA from 10 species
CUUGCUGCAGAGGCAGAGGCUCAUGGGAAACCUCUACUAGGACAGUGCAUCUCUGGCUUUGCAGGGUGUUGCCCCCAUGGCUGCUCUCAUGGGCUGGGUUGGUGUCGAGUGCCUGUAGCUUUUCCAUACUGAGGGUGUGAGCUGUUGGUGGGCUUAUGAACCUGGAGUCUGGAGGAAGGUGGCCUCCUGUGUGGGGGCUCAAAGCCUAUAUUUUCCUUCUGCACUGCCAUAGUGGAUGUUUCCUAAGAGGUUCUGCUUCUGCAGGAGGCUUCUGCCUGGAAACAGUGGGCGGUGGUGUGGGUGGAGAAUCCUUCACCAUUGGUUAGUUUUCUUGAUGCCGAUGUCCUGAUGGUGAGUUCUUAUGUGAUCUGGUUGUCUAACAGGAUGUCACACCUCUUUCCUCUCUCUGUCUUGCUCCUACUCCUGCCAUAUGAAACAUCUCAUUGCCGCUUGGCCUUCUGAUAUGGUUAGGAGGGGCCUGAUCAGUGUAGGCCUGCUCAGUGGACCUAGUCAGUUGGGACUUUGUCAGUGAGGCCUAUUUAGUGGGGGGUGGUCAGCAGGUGUCUGCCUAGAGAGGGUCUCAUUAGAGGGAUCUAGUAGUGCAGCUCUUGGUGAGUGGGUUCCUAGUGGCAGACAAAUGUUUGGUGUCUGGUCAAUGCCAACCUGGGCUGUGGGACUUGGUCAGUGGAGACCUUGUCAGCUGGGGCUUAGUUGUGGCCUUGUCUGAUUGGGCUGGGUUACUGGUGACCAGGUCAAGGGGUGCUAUUCAGUGGAGGCCUGGUCACAUGGGACCUAGUCAGCAGAGGCGCUUGUCAGUGGGGCCCUGGUCAGGGCAGGCUGGUCAAUGGAACCUAAUCAGUGGGGGCCUGGUCAGAAAGGACUUGAUCAGUGGUGGCUUUUGUAGCACUGGUCUACGGGGUGACCAGGUCAGCGGGGAUCUGAGCAGUGCGUGCCUGUUCAGUGGGGCAUACUCAUUAGAGUCCCAGUCAGGGGCAUCUGGUCACCUCAGGCGUGGUUAGUAGGAGCCUGGUCACUGGCAGCCUAUUCCCUGGAGGCCUGCUCAGUGGGGCUUCAUCUGUGGGACCAGGCAAUGGGGUCAUUAUCGGUGGAACCUGAUCAGCGAGGCCUUGUCAGUAAGGACCUGGUCAGUGAGGCCUUACAAGUGAGGACUUAUCAGUAAGGUCCUCAUCAGUGGAGUCCUGGUCAUUGUGGGCCUGUCAGCGGGAAUCUAGUUAGUGAGGCCUGGUGAUGGGGGUCUAGUCAGUGAGGGUGUGGUCAGGGAGGAUCUGAUAUGCUGGAUCUGGUCAGCAGGGACCUGUUCAGUGGGGGCUGCUGAGCACUGCAGGGAGAUGUCAGGAGAAAUGCAUGUUAUCGAGGACCCUGUGGACAGCUGGGAUGGCCCAGUGGUGUUCAAUGGCCCAGUCAAAAGUGGACAAAGCAGGUGUUUGGAUGGACCUGGGAGAUCUUGCUCAGGGAUUCUGACAGGACAAAAGUAAAGGAAGUACCAGAGUGGCCAGAGAGAUGGUCACAGUCUAUGGGCUGCACAGGAUGGAGGAGGCCAGGGAACAGGCAGGGUGGGCAGCUGAGUUUCAG